rnacentral:rRNA from 1 species
CUCAGAAACUUAAAGGAAUUGACGGGCCCGCACAAGCGGUGGAGUAUGUGGUUUAAUUCGAUGCAACGCGAAGAACCUUACCUGGUCUUGACAUCCCGGAGACCCUUAGGAAACUAGGGGGUGCUUCCAUCUGGAAGAAUCUGGAGACAGGUGCUGCAUGGCUGUCGUCAGCUCGUGUCGUGAGAUGUUGGGUUAAGUCCCGCAACGAGCGCAACCCUUGCCUUUAGUUGCCAGCAGUUCGGCUGGGCACUCUAAAGGGACUGCCGGUGUUAAACCGGAGGAAGGUGGGGAUGACGUCAAGUCCUCAUGGCCUUUAUGACCAGGGCUACACACGUACUACAAUGGCCGAUACAAAGGGCAGCGACACUGCGAGGUGAAGCCAAUCCCGUAAAAUCGGUCUCAGUCCGGAUUGGAGUCUGCAACUCGACUCCAUGAAGUUGGAAUCGCUAGUAAUCGUGGAUCAGCAUGCCACGGUGAAUACGUUCCCGGGCCUU